rnacentral:snRNA from 1 species
AUACUCACAAUGGUGGUUUUCCCAGGGCAAGGCUUAUCCAUUGCACUCCAGAUGUGGUAACCCGCAUGAUUUCCCCCAAAUGUGGGGAAUUCCGUAGCAUAAUUUGUGGUAGUGGGAGACUGCAUUUGUACUUUCCUC